rnacentral:lncRNA from 1 species
AUAGAGAAAAAUAGGCAUAUUCUCUCUGGCAUCAAACAAGCAUACAUGACCCUUCUCUUUUUUAGACAGCCAUUUCCACUCAACUCCAUUGCAGAUUGGCAGAUCAGAGCAGAGAGGACGGCACAGAAAGAAAAUCAGCAGAUACAGGGACAACAGAGUUACAGAAGACGGUGACAAAAUGCAGAGAAUACUGAGGGUGUUGUAGAAGUUUAUAUCAAGAGAAAGAACCCCAAGGAUUGAAAAGAAAAAAUAGAGGCUGGGAUUAGAGCCAAACUGAGGAAAACUGAUGCAGUCUGUCAGCAAGCCCUCAGUAUCACUGCUUAAUACCCAAUUGAGGAAUAACUGGGAGCACUCACUGGUGCAUAUAGCCACUAGGAUUGCUUCUAUCAUGCAUAUCCUGCAAAACAUUUGUGCAAAACACCCACACAAUAAAC